rnacentral:rRNA from 1 species
CCUACGGGUGGCUGCAGCUAAGAAUAUUCCGCAAUGGACGAAAGUCUGACGGAGCGACGCCGCGUGGAUGAAGAAGGCCGAAAGGUUGUAAAGUCCUUUUGUUGGGGAAGAAUAAGCGCGGGAGGGAAUGCCCGCGUGAUGACAUGAACCGACGAAUAAGCCCCGGCUAACUACGUGCCAGCAGCCGCGGUAACACGUAGGGGGCGAGCGUUGCGCGGAAUUACUGGGCGUAAAGGUCAUGGAGGCGCCCGAAAGUCACCGGCUUAACCGGUGGAUUGCGUCGGGAACUGCAGGGCUUGAGUCACGGAGAGGGAGCUAGAAUUCCUGGUGUAGGGGUGAAAUCUGUAGAGAUCAGGAAGAAUACCAAUGGCGAAGGCAAGCUCCUGGCCGAUGACUGACGCUGAGGUGCGAAAGUGUGGGGAUCAAACAGGAUUAGAUACCCUUGUAGUC